UUACGGCCAUAUCAUGUUGAGAACACCGGUUCUCGUACGAUCACUGAAGUUAAGACGAUAAGCAAUGUUGAGCCUGCUCAAUAGUUAGAUGAGUGACCGCUGGAAAUACCAGACCUGGUGCUGCAA